GAUGAACGCUGGCGGCGUGCUUAACACAUGCAAGUCGAGCGAACGGACGAGAAUUUUGCUCCUCUGAUGUUAGCCGCGGACGGGUGAGUAACACGUGGCUCACCAAUCUAUUAGACUGGGCUAACUUCGAGACCCGGUAGCCUAUACCUGAUUAUAUUUUGAACCGCAUGGUUCCAACUUUUAAGGCGGUCUUUUUGUUACUUGUUGAUGGUUCCGCGCUGCCUUAUCAUGUUGGUAAGGUAACGGCUUACCAAGGCAACGAUGCAUAGCCGACCUGAGGGGGUGAUCGGCCACACUGGAACUGAGACACGGACAAGGCUCCUACGGGAGGCGGCAGUAGGGAAUCUUCCGCAAUGAGCGAAAGCCUGACGGAGCAACGCCGAGUGAGUGAUGAAGGUCUUCGGAUCGUAAUACUCUGUUAUUGGGGAAGGACAUAUGUGUAAGUAGCUGUGCGCAUCUUGACGGUACCGAAUGAGAAAGCCACGGCUAACUACGUG
rnacentral:rRNA from 1 species